rnacentral:rRNA from 1 species
UCGGGAAUAUUGCGCAAUGGAGGAAACUCUGACGCAGUGACGCCGCGUGCAGGAAGAAGGUUUUCGGAUUGUAAACUGCUUUAGACAGGGAAGAAAAAAAUGACAGUACCUGUAGAAUAAGCUCCGGCUAACUACGUGCCAGCAGCCGCGGUAAUACGUAGGGAGCGAGCGUUAUCCGGAAUUAUUGGGUUUAAAGGGAGCGUAGGUGGAUAUAUAAGUCAGUUGUGAAAGUUUGCGGCUCAACCGUAAAAUUGCAGUUGAUACUGUAUAUCUUGAGUGUACAAGAGGUGGGCGGAAUUCGUGGUGUAGCGGUGAAAUGCGUAGAUAGUAGGAGGAACACCAGUGGCGAAGGCGGCUUACUGGACGAUAACUGACGUUGAGGCUCGAAAGCGUGGGGAGCAAACA